ensembl:lncRNA
GGCACCCUACAACUCGGCAUAUUUAUGUCUAGGUGAAAUGGAAGGACAUAUGGCAUGAUCCUGAUCAGGUAUUGAUAUGGGGAAGAGGGUGUGUUUGUGGUUUUUUUGCAGGAUGCAGAAGGAGUGUGCUAGCUGCCAGAGUGACUGGCGAAACAUGCUGAUGCUGGGACAAAGAAUGAUGCUGACUGUGAGCUUGCUGAGUGCCCGACAAUGACGACAGGGAAGCUGUAUUGGGCCUAUGUUCCUGACCCACCACUGAUAUAUCCAGCAGUGUGGUCGAGACCAGAGAUUCUCGUACUUGGAUCUCCCUGGAUGGAGAAGCCAACUUAUAGUAAGACCAUGACUUGCAAUGCAUUUGGUGAUGGGAUUUCUGUCUGUUUUGUGAAGAAUAGUACAAAUGAUGGGUGUAUUUCUGUUUCCUCAAAACUGGAAUCUUUUAUUGACUGGUCAUGUUAAAGUUACUUUUGUUUCUUCUACAGUAUUUAACAUGAGUUGUGUUGAUUGUACUCUUUCCAAUUGUGUUAAUGUACUGAAAUCUGGAAUUCCGUUACGGUGCUCUAUCAAUCAGCUUUUGUAUUAUUGCCUCUGGACACAAGCUAUAGUCAUCUGAGAAGAGAGAAAGUGAUUAAGAAAAUGCUCUCGUCAGAUCAGCCUGUAGGCAAGUCUUGGGAGCACUUCUUAUUGAUGGUUGAUGUGGAGAGCCCAGCUUGCUGGAGGUGCUGCCACCCCUGGACAAGUGGACCUGCGUUAUAUAAGAAAGCAAAUAGAGCAAGCCAGGAAGCAACACUUCUCCAUGGCUUCUGCCUCAAUUCCUGCCUUUGGGUUCCUAUCCUUCUUGAGUUCUUCCCUUGGUUUCCUUCAAUGGACCAUGACUCAGGAACCGUCUUUAUCAAGACAACAGACAGCGAACUAGAACCAUUGUGGAUGACUUUGUCCGAUGACUGUGGCUCUAUGGGUCUAUUUCUGGUCCCGUGUCCUACUCCACUGGUCAGUUUAUUCACCUAGUUAUUAAUUGGAGCCUGUUCUUUGGAUGUUUGUGUGCAGUGCCACACUGUUUUGAACUCUAUAGUAUAAUUUUGAAUAUGGCAUCGUACUUUCUACUCAGGGUCUUUUGUGCUUUAUGUGGAUUUUAGAAUUAAUUUUUCCCAUUUCGGGGCUGGAGAGAUGGCUCAGCGGUUAAGAGCACCCAACUGCUCUUUCAGAGGUCAUGAGUUCAAUUCCCAGCAACCACAUGGUGGCUCACAACCAUCUGUAAAGAGAUCCGAUGCCCUCUUCUGGUGUAUCUGAAGACAGCUACAG